UUUAACGCAUAACUCCGAGCUUACUUAACCUAAGUUUUCUGCGUGAAAAUAGGGUGGUAACGCCAAUAACGUUUCGUUAUUCAGGGAUACGCUGGAAACGGUUUGUCCUCUCUCAUUUUAGAAAGGUGUGAAAUGCAGACAAUU
rnacentral:ncRNA from 2 species